AUUGAACGCUGGCGGCAGGCCUAACACAUGCAAGUCGAGCGGAUGAAGGGAGCUUGCUCCUGGAUUCAGCGGCGGACGGGUGAGUAAUGCCUAGGAAUCUCCCUGUUAGUGGGGGAUAACGUCCGGAAACGGGCGCUAAUACCGCAUACGUCCUGAGGGAGAAAGGGGGGGAUCUUCGGACCUCACGCUAUCAGAUGAGCCUAGGUCGGAUUAGCUAGUUGGUGGGGUAAAGGCCUACCAAGGCGACGAUCCGUAACUGGUCUGAGAGGAUGAUCAGUCACACUGGAACUGAGACACGGUCCAGACUCCUACGGGAGGCAGCAGUGGGGAAUAUUGGACAAUGGGCGAAAGCCUGAUCCAGCCAUGCCGCGUGUGUGAAGAAGGUCUUCGGAUUGUAAAGCACUUUAAGUUGGGAGGAAGGGCAGUAAGUUAAUACCUUGCUGUUUUGACGUUACCAACAGAAUAAGCACCGGCUAACUUCGUG
rnacentral:rRNA from 1 species